rnacentral:rRNA from 1 species
UGGGGAAUAUUGGACAAUGGGCGCAAGCCUGAUCCAGCCAUCCCGCGUGGAGGAUGACGGCCCUAGUGGUUGUAAACUCCUUUUAUAAGAGAAGAAACCCCGAGAUUUAUCUUGGGCUGACGGUAUCUUACGAAUAAGCACCGGCUAACUCCGUGCCAGCAGCCGCGGUAAUACGGAGGGUGCAAGCGUUAUCCGGAAUCACUGGGUUUAAAGGGUGCGUAGGUGGUUUAGUAAGUCAGAGGUGAAAGCCCGACGCCUAACGUCGGAAUUGCCUUUGAUACUGCUAAACUUGAAUCAGGUUGAGGUAGGCGGAAUGUGGCAUGUAGCGGUGAAAUGCAUAGAUAUGCCAUGGAACACCAAUUGCGAAGGCAGCUUACUGGCCCUGUAUUGACACUGAGGCACGAAAGCGUGGGUAGCGAACAGGAUUAGAUACCCCGGUAGUCC